UCCCAGCGCGCUCCAAGAAAGGGGGCGGCCGAGGUGACACCCGCUCCAGUGGGAGGUGGACCGGAGGAAUCCCAGUGUGCUGAAUGAUUUUUUUGACUGCGAUCCAGACUUCCAGAGUCUGUGGGUCUACAGCAGUCAAGCAGGACAGACAGCAAUUCAUCUUGGGUCUCACCAGUUGCACAGAAGAGGUUGGUGUUUAUCGAAACAUACAGCUAAGACACUGUGUGGCCACCACAGGCACUAUAAGCCUCAGACUGCCCAGAGCAGUCUUCUCUGACCUCUGUGUGAAGACGUGGUUCAUCUACAGCUGACCUGGGGCUUGUUCCUUCAGAGGCUAGUGGCCUCAUCAUUGCACUGUGGUGAGCUGGUGGUCUCAAUGGUUCCCUCCAUAAGAACCACACUGGACAGAACAAAGGAAAAGAAUUUAAACCCUGGAAUCAGACAGCCUUGAUUUAUCACGUGGCCUUGAAGAGCCAAUGGUCAAUACCCUUAUUUAUAAA